rnacentral:tRNA from 1 species
GCCCGCUUAGCUCAGUUGGUUAGAGCGUCGUGCCAAUAACGCGAAUGUCGGCAGUUCGAGCCUGUCAGUGGGUA